AAGCCUCUCAAUAGCAUUCAACUUUAAGCUUCCUGUCAAGCCCCUUGUGAUGAAGAUAGCGACAUGAGAAUUGGAUGCUUGCAAUUAAUAAAGAGAUAGUAUUGGACAAAUGUUACAAUUUGCCUUUUAUUACACUCAUUAGACAUAUUAUUUCUAAGCAUAAACUUUUAUUAUGGUAUUUUGCACUUGAAAUUUUUUCAUUUGGGACACAUGUAUUGGAUAUUUUGGUUGAUAAAAAAAAAUACAUUAGACUUUAUCAAA